rnacentral:lncRNA from 1 species
UGGGGAUGGCAAAGCAUCCUACUCGGCCGCGACACAAUAAAGAACAAGAUGAAAUGGUCAGUAGGAGACGGGACAUCUAUUCGCAUAAAAGAAGAUAGAUGGCUGUCACAAGGAGUAAUUGGUGGGGCAGUAAACCAAACUGAGCCUAAAAUUGUGUCAGAACUGAUCAAUCCAGAAUCAAAUGACUGGAACCAGCCACUCAUAUACCAACUUUAUGAAGAAAAAAUUGCAAACGAGAUCACCGCCAUCCCCCUUACCCAGCCACCACAGAAAGACACGAUUAUAUGGACAGGGAACAGCUCAGGACAAUAUUCGGUCAAGAGCGGCUACAACGAAGCACGAAAAGCUACCAGCAAUACAGAUCAGAAUCGACCCUCCUGCUCUUACCAACCCCCACGUACCUUAUGGACACAAAUGUGGAGUCUCGAUGUGCCCCCAAAAAUUCGCUCCUUCCUCUGGAGUAUUUGCCAGAACGCCCUCCCGACGAAGGAAAACCUAUUCAGAAGGAAAAUUGUUAGUGACCCCCGAUGCCCUAUAUGCUAUUCGAGUACAGAAACAACAGAACACUUGCUGUUCUUCUGCAAGUGGACAAAAAAAAUCUGGCAAGACCCAAUUUUUGCAACGAUCAGGCCAAAUAAUGGCCUCCAACGCACGGAUCAGUGGCUUACAAGUGCCUUUCGAAGAGACAGGAACUUACCCGAGCGAGAGCUGGUCAGUCUGGUUCUGUGGAACAUCUGGAAGGCGCGAAACAACCGGAUCUUUCGUGCGCAGGAACCCCGACCAGCAGAUCUGCUGCUUGCAGCACAGGAACAACAGUACUCGUUCAGCAAGAGCACAUCAAACAGAAGAGAGAGAUCUCCCAAUCGAAGCAAACCUGGUCCGUGGAGGCCUCCGGAAGGGCAAAAUCUGAAGAUGAACGUCGAUGCAUCGUGGCAACCCGGUGAUCUCCUCUGCUCUGUCGCCGGAGUGGUUCGC